rnacentral:rRNA from 1 species
UACGUAGGGGGCAAGCGUUAUCCGGAUUUACUGGGUGUAAAGGGGGCGCAGACGGAAAUGCAAGCCAGAUGUGAAAGCCCCGGGCUCAGCCCGGGGAGUGCAUUUGGAACUGUGUAUCUAGAGUACUGGAGAGGUAAGCGGAAUUCCUGGUGUAGCGGUGAAAUGCGUAGAUAUCAGGAAGAACACCGGUGGCGAAGGCGGCUUACUGGACAGAGACUGACGUUGAGGCCCGAAAGCGUGGGGAGCAAAC